rnacentral:rRNA from 1 species
AGCAGCAGCCACGGGAAUACGUAGGGUGCGAGCGUUAAUCGGAAUUACUGGGCGUAAAGCGUGCGCAGGCGGUUCGUUAAGACAGAUGUGAAAUCCCCGGGCUUAACCUGGGAACUGCAUUUGUGACUGGCGAGCUAGAGUAUGGCAGAGGGGGGUAGAAUUCCACGUGUAGCAGUGAAAUGCGUAGAGAUGUGGAGGAAUACCGAUGGCGAAGGCAGCCCCCUGGGCCAAUACUGACGCUCAUGCACGAAAGCGUGGGGAGCAAACAGGAUUAGAUACCCCGGUAGUCCCUGUCUCUUAUAC